UGGGGAAUAUUGGACAAUGGGCGCAAGCCUGAUCCAGCCAUGCCGCGUGAGUGACGAAGGUCUUCGGAUUGUAAAACUCUUUUGGCGGGGACGAUAAUGACGGUACCCGCAGAAUAAGCCCCGGCUAACUUCGUGCCAGCAGCCGCGGUAAUACGAAGGGGGCUAGCGUUGUUCGGAAUCACUGGGCGUAAAGCGCACGUAGGCGGAUGUGCCAGUCAGGGGUGAAAUCCCGGAGCUCAACUCCGGAACUGCCUCUGAUACUGCACGUCUUGAGUUCGAGAGAGGUGGGUGGAAUUCCUAGUGUAGAGGUGAAAUUCGUAGAUAUUGGGAAGAACACCAGUGGCGAAGGCGGCUAACUGGUCCGGUACUGACGCUGAGGUGCGAAAGCGUGGGGAGCAAACAGGAUUAGAUACCCGUGUAGUCCCUGAGCGGGCUGGCAAGGCGCAU
rnacentral:rRNA from 1 species